UUUUUUGUGUGUGUGUGUGUGUGUGUGUGUGUGUGUGUUUACUCUUUUUUUUUUAAUUUUUUUUUAAUUUUUCUAUCAAUUUUUACCAUGGCUAACUUUUACACCGUUGGAUUUGGGGUUCACCUAAUCUAUAUGAUAUAAGUGGAGGUGCGCACUUCAUAAACAAUUGUGACAAUAGAAUUGUAAUCAGGAUUCGAAGCUGGUCAUAUCAAUCAAGUUCAAGCUUGUGUUAGGAAGGUACAGAUCAAGGUCACAGGAACCAUAGGUGAUCCCCAUUUUUUGUAUAGUAGAGGUCAAUCAGGAGUAGGGGUGGUGAUUAGGAAUAACCUUGGUCAGAUGAUGGGAGCUCUGUUCAUGCCCAUCACCUAUCACACAUCAUCAUCAGAUGUCUGCUCUAGAGGUAGAGUUGAUGCCUAUCCUCAAAGAUAGUGAGUUUGCUGUUCAAUGUGGUUUCAAUGAAGGAUUUGUGGAAUCGGACUCUUCGUCGGCUGUUGAUGUCAUUCAUGAUGAGUAGGAUUCUUUAAUUGAUUGCUGAAUGCUUUAUAGUGGAUCACCUCAAAUUGCAUCUUCAGCGUCUAGGCUGCUUUCCAUGAAGCUAUUCUCCAUGAAUAACAAAUAAAGUAGCUUAUUGUUUAGCUAGCUUCUCUCUUGAUCUUGUUCAAUUUUCUGCUUGGCUUGAAGUGGAUCCUCUAUGGUUACAAAGAUGUUUGAACAGUGGUGUAUUUUUUCUUCUGACUCAUUGUUUAGCUAGGUUUUCUCUUGAUCUUGUUCAAUUUUCUGCUUGGCUUGAAGUGGAUCCUCUAUGACUACUAAGAUGUUUGAACAAUGAUGGAUUUUUUUCUUCUGAUUGAUAUAUUAUCAUUUUCAAAUUAUGA